AGGUGAAGCUCUUCACUCUCAACGUGAAAAAUCAAACAAUGCGUUAAAGCUCAGAGUGGCCGUGCUGGUUGUCUGUGUUCUCCUGGUAUCGGCUCUCGUGGUAACUUAUCUCUUGUUUGAGUUUUUGAAAACCAGGGAAAUGCUCAGAAAUCUUGAACUGAAGCAGAAAAACGUAAAAGGCGAUGUCACAGAGAGACUGCCUGAAAUCAAACCAUGUAGUACAGUGCAGCCCACAUGUCCAGAGCCUGAAGUAAAAAUUAUAACACAACCGUGCAACAUAAUACAGCCUACAACCCCACAACCUACUGAAAUAAC